UACGAAGGGGGCUGGCGUUGCUCGGAAUUACUGGGCGUAAAGCGCACGUAGGCGGCUUUCUAAGUCGGAGGUGAAAUCCUGGAGCUCAACUCCAGAACUGCCUUCGAUACUGGAGAGCUUGAGUCCGGGAGAGGUGAGUGGAACUGCGAGUGUAGAGGUGAAAUUCGUAGAUAUUCGGAGGAACACCAGUGGCGAAGGCGGCUCGCUGGCUCGAUACUGACGCUGAGGUGCGAAAGCGUGGGGAGCAAACCGG
rnacentral:rRNA from 1 species